UACGUAGGGUGCAAGCGUUAAUCGGAAUUACUGGGCGUAAAGCGUGCGCAGGCGGUGAUGCAAGACAGAUGUGAAAUCCCCGGGCUCAACCUGGGAACUGCAUUUGUGACUGCAUCGCUGGAGUACGGCAGAGGGGGAUGGAAUUCCGCGUGUAGCAGUGAAAUGCGUAGAUAUGCGGAGGAACACCGAUGGCGAAGGCAAUCCCCUGGGCCUGUACUGACGCUCAUGCACGAAAGCGUGGGGAGCAAACAGG
rnacentral:rRNA from 1 species